CCUACGGGCGGCAGCAGUGGGGAAUAUUGGACAAUGGGGGGAACCCUGAUCCAGCCAUGCCGCGUGUGUGAAGAAGGCCCUCGGGUUGUAAAGCACUUUCAGUGAGGAAGAACGCCUGGUGGUUAAUACCCAUCAGGAAAGACAUCACUCACAGAAGAAGCACCGGCUAACUCCGUACCAGCAGCCGCGGUAAUACGGAGGGUGCGAGCGUUAAUCGGAAUUACUGGGCGUAAAGCGCGCGUAGGUGGCUUGAUAAGCCGGUUGUGAAAGCCCCGGGCUCAACCUGGGAACGGCAUCCGGAACUGUCAAGCUAGAGUGCAGGAGAGGAAGGUAGAAUUCCCGGUGUAGCGGUGAAAUGCGUAGAGAUCGGGAGGAAUACCAGUGGCGAAGGCGGCCUUCUGGACUGACACUGACACUGAGGUGCGAAAGCGUGGGUAGCAAACAGGAUUAGAUACCCCUGUAGUC
rnacentral:rRNA from 1 species